rnacentral:tRNA from 1 species
GCCGGUGUAGCUCAACUGGCAGAGCAACUGACUUGUAAUCAGUAGGUUGGGGGUUCAAGUCCUCUCACCGGCACCA